UUUUCACCAUAAUUACAAGAUUGUCACCGCGUUUAGUUAUUCAUCUGGUAUAUUGAAGUCAGAUGUAAAAAGUCUUGUCUAUAUAUUUUUUACAUCUGUGGAUAUUGAGACCAGAUGAAAAGACUACUCUAUAUAGCGUUUUACAUCUGACAUAUGUUCGUCAGAUGUAAAAUGCUUAAGUAAUAUGUCAUAUUUCUACUAGUGUUGACAGCUACCAUUAGACAUAGUGGUACCAAUUCUGUGUGUUUCUCCUAGUGCUACCUCAUUUUUCAUCAAUAAAUAUGUACCAUUAGAUUACAAAACUAUGAGCAUUGUAUUCACCAUUCUCCAUUGUCACAACAAUUACAAAAAGCUACAGAGAAAACAAGAAAAUCAAGAAAAUAUUGAUUUUUGAGUACUUAUCUGAUAUUCAAGAACAAUUUCAAGUAAAGACUAAAAAAGAGUGAACCAACCUUCACUUAAUCAAGAAGAGUUACCACAUAAAUCUUCUAAAAUCCAAACAUUUGCCAACUUUGCAAAAUUUGUAGUUGCCUUGUCCUUUGAGAACCUAGAAAACCACAAACUUUGCAACCUG
rnacentral:lncRNA from 1 species